rnacentral:rRNA from 1 species
CGUAGUCCGGAUUGGAGUCUGCAACUCGACUCCAUGAAGUCGGAAUCGCUAGUAAUCGUGGAUCAGAAUGCCACGGUGAAUACGUUCCCGGGCCUUGUACACACCGCCCGUCACACCAUGGGAGUGGGUUGCAAAAGAAGUAGGUAGCUUAACCUUCGGGAGAGCGCUUACCACUUUGUGAUUCAUGACUGGGGUGAAGUCGUAACAAGGUAACCGUAGGGGAACCUGCGGUUGGAUCACCUCCUUA